rnacentral:rRNA from 1 species
UAGAGUUUGAUCCUGGCUCAGGACGAUCGCUGGCGGCGUGCCUAACACAUGCAAGUCGAACGGAAACAUCCCGUCGAUGCGAUUUCGGUUAAGUCAAGGGAUGUUUUAGUGGCGGACGGGUGAGUAACGCGUGGGCAACCUGCCUUACACCGGGGGAUAACACUUAAAAAUAGGUGCUAAUACCGCAUAACAGGAGAACAUGCAUGUGUUUUCCUUGAAAACCACGGUGGUGUAAGAUGGACCCGCGUCUGAUUAUCUUGUUGGCAGGGUAACGGCCUACCAAGGCGACGACCAGUAGCCGGCCUGAGAGGGUGGACGGCCACAUUGGGACUGAGACACGGCCCACACUCCUACGGGAGGCAGCAGUGGGGAAUAUUGCACAAUGGGGGAAACCCUGAUGCAGCGACGCCGCGUGAGUGAAAAAAUAUUUCUGUAUGUAAAGCUCUGUCCUCAGGGAAGAAAAAGAAGGUACCUGACCAAGAAACCCCGGCUAACUACCUGCCAGCAGCCGCGGUAAUACGUAAGGGGGGAGCGUUUUCCCGAAUUUCUGGGUGUAAAGGGAGCGCAAACAGCCAUGCAAGUCCCGAGUGAAAGCCCGGGGCCCCACCCCGGGACUGCUCUGGAAACUGUACGGCUGGAGUGGCCGAAAGGGAAACCGAAAUUCUAAUGUAACGGUGAAAUGCGUACAUAUUAAGAA